GAUGAACGCUAGCGGAAGGCAUAAUACAUGCAAGUCGAACGGAUGUAGCAAUACAUUAGUGGCGCACGGGUGCGUAACGCGUAUGCAACCUACCUUCAUCAGGGGGAUAACUACUCGAAAGGGUGGAUAACACCGCAUAAUACUACUGAAUGGCAUCAUUUGGUAUUUAAAUCUGAGGAGGAUGAAGAUGGGCAUGCGUCUGAUUAGGUAGUUGGUGUGGUAACGGGGGACCAAGGCGACGAUCAGUAGGGGAACUGAGAGGUUGGUCCCCCACACUGGCACUGAGAUACGGGCCAGACUCCUACGGGAGGCAGCAGUAGGGAAUAUUGGUCAAUGGUGGGAACACUGAACCAGCCAUUCCGCGUGCAGGAAGAAGGGUCUCUGACUUGUAAACUGCUUUAGCAAGGGAAGAAAAAGCUCAUGCGUGAGAAAUUGACGGUACCUUGAGAAUAAGCACCGGCUAACUACGUGCCAGCCGCCGCUGUAACAC
rnacentral:rRNA from 1 species